rnacentral:rRNA from 1 species
GUGUCAGCAGCCGCGGUAAUACGUAGGUGGCAAGCGUUGUCCGGAAUUACUGGGCGUAAAGGGUGCGCAGGCGGAUAUUUAAGUCGGAUGUGAAAACUAGAGGCUUAACCACUAGAUUGCAUUUGAAACUGGAUAUCUUGAGUGCAGGAGAGGGCAGUGGAAUUCCUAGUGUAGCGGUGAAAUGCGUAGAUAUUAGGAGGAACACCAGUGGCGAAGGCGGCUGCCUGGACUGUAACUGACGCUGAGGCACGAAAGCGUGGGGAGCGAACAGGAUUAGAUACCCUGGUAGUCCACGCCGUAAACGAUGGGUACUAGGUGUAGGGGGUAUCGACCCCUUCUGUGCCGGAGUUAACACGAUAAGUACCCCGCCUGGGGAGUACGGCCGCAAGGUUGAA